UAAGACAGAGGGUGCAAGCGUUAAUCGGAAUUACUGGGCGUAAAGGGCUCGUAGGUGGUCAAUUAAGUCGGAUGUAAAAUCCCCGGGCUUAACCUGGGCAGGUCAUUCGAAACUGAUUGGCUAGAGUUGGAUAGAGGAAGGCGGAAUUUCCGGUGUAGCGGUGAAAUGCGUAGAUAUCGGAAGGAACACCAGUGGCGAAGGCGGCCUUCUGGAUCCAUACUGACACUGAGGAGCGAAAGCGUGGGUAGCAAACAGG
rnacentral:rRNA from 1 species